UUUCCGUAGGUGAACCUGCGGAAGGAUCAUUAUCAUACAAUAAGUUAGGAACAUUCGAGGACUGUAGCUUUCCGAUAGCUCGGACAGUCCCGAGUGUGUCCUCUUGCAUAAUAAUCCGUCUCUCCAUGUAUGCAGCAACGCGUUUUCAUCCUGCGGGAGCGUCGCCCAGAAAUAAUCGUGUUAUCAUAAGAACCCCCCUUUUAAAAUUAUAAAAUGAUCACAUUUAUGCGAUCAACACAACUUUCAACAACGGAUCUCUUGGUUCUCGCAUCGAUGAAA
rnacentral:misc_RNA from 1 species